rnacentral:tRNA from 1 species
GACGGUUUGGCCGAGUGGUCUAAGGCGCCAGAUUUAGGCUCUGGUUCGAAAGUGCGUGGGUUCAAAUCCCACAAUGUUUA